UUCAUCAAAUAUCAAACACAAAAAGAAUAAAUGUUCAAUGCAAUUAUCGUCAACAGAAUGACUGCUAAAUCAACUCUUAAUCAUUUGAAUAUCGGUAUUUAGAUUGAUUGAACAAAUAAUAAUAUUGGAGAAUGAAGGGUGAACCCCUGGUUCUAAGGGGGAAGGGGCCUGUCCAUGUCACUGACCAUGGACCACCAGUAAGGGGCAGUAAGGGGCGGCCGCGCUCCCAGUCCCAGGAUAAUGCAAACCUACGGCGGGCAGAGAAGGAGAAAAACACUGCAAGGGCGUUGUGUGUACCAAUGGGCAGCAACCAAAAUUAUCUGAAAUGUUCCGAAAGCCUUAGCGACCUAACAGUAGAUAAUAUCAAUUACGUUUCGACAUAGGAUUUGUAAUCGGAGUGCUCUAGCACGGUGGGUCUCGUCUGCACAAGGUUGUCGUCUGUUUGUCUGGCUGCACCGCCCGUCCCGCCGCUGUGUGUGCUCCUGAAGUUUUCUCCCUCAUUCUCCGCCACAAUCCAGUGAGAUAAUGGAGCUGUUGGUUCUUUUUGCUGCCUGCAUUGUGAUAGGACUCUCAGGCGGAGAAAAUGUGAAGGUGUUAUAUGGGGAAAGCCAUCGAUUUUUUCUAAAAUCCCGUGCGGAGUACCUGUACUUUGAAUCUAAUGAUCAAUCUAGCAAAGUACCCCUGUGGACACGCAGCAAGCCUUCUGAUACCAAACGGGGUCAGUAUGACGGAUACGGGUUCUUCACGAUAGAAAAACUCACCCAAGCGGAUAAUGGAAAAUACACUAUACAAUCAAGAUUUAACACCACUUUGGAAACCAACAGAGUCGAUGUGUCACAUCAUGAAAACCUUUUCUCCAAAAAUGAGGGUGAACAGCUACAUUUUGAAUUUCCUAUGAAGCUAAAGUCGUACACUGUUUCCUACACUAACGCUGAUGAUGGAGAUGGAUGGGUCAUUUCCAACGAAGAAUAUAAAACCACACGCCACUUUGACAGGAGGAUGCAAUUACGUAGUACACAACAGUACACUUAUCUCGUAAUCGAUGACCUCAAAGCGUGGGAUUCUGGUGUUUUUUACAUUCAAGAUGACCAGGCUAAUCUGGCCGUGAAAGUGACCCUCGAGGUGGCAGCACCCGCCUCAACGUGGAUGAACGUCGGCCUUGCGUCUGGCGUCGUUUUCAUAAUGGUGUCUUGCUGCUUCUGUCUGAAGAGGUGCUGCUGUAAGAAAAGCUCCAAGAGCAGUGAAGAGGUCACCGAGGCCGCCGACGACCCUCCCCAACUCCAGGAGUACAGUGUCAUGCCCCCUCCACCGAGGUACCACAUGGAGCCCAUGCCGCCGUCCGUAAGCGGUGGUCCUGUGUAUUCAUACCGUCCGGUCGCCCCGGCGGCGAGCGCAGUGGAGGUUAGUGCGUUUCAAGCGGAUCCACGGACAGCCAACGCCUCCUGUAGCCCUACAAGUCAGACGGUGAUCUCGGUUCCCUCGCCCCCCGUGCCCUUCACUGCCCCUUCGGCCGAGGCGCCAGCUACAGGAAGCCAGGCUGGUACUCAGGAUAGCUCCUUCGGCAGCAACUUCCUGUCCUCCGAGACCGAUCCAUGCUUUGAGAUGAAGGGCAUGAAUCUGGCGCCGCCCCUCUACUCCGAAUGCGUCACUGCGAACGUCUACACGUCGGACAAACUCAACUUCGGCUUCCUCUAAGGACUCCGUCGGGUCAGAUUCUCAAAGUUCAGGGAUUGCAUGAUUUACAAUAUAUUUAGCUAGUUUUUUUAAAGAGAUAGUGCCGUAUAUACUAACAGAGAAUAAACUAUUAGUGAGGUUAUCAAGCUAAUACGUAAACUUGACUUUUAUGUUUGAAACUAGCAUUUGACACCUGUUACUGUCUGAAACUCAGUGCGUUUACAUGGGACAGCUAAAUCGGAUUAUGCCUUAUACCGAUUUUGCUACUCGAACGGACCGUGUCAAUUAUCCGAACGUACAUGGCCUUUAGAGAAUCAAAUAAUGGUUGGAGCAUGGCUGAAUCCGUACCCUAGCUGGCGCUGUAGCCCUUUCAACGAGCGGUUAUAGAGCCACUUCCGGUUGACCUCUACGUCCAAGCAACAACAAACUCAGGCGGCAUUCAAGAAAGAUGUUUUCAGUAGACAGCUGUCAGUUCACUUCGGGUCCAUGUUAUUUCUCCGACGCUGCAUUGUUCAAACCUCUCGGUCGUAUGCGGACUCCUCCCGCUACUCCGCUGCCGGAGGAGUCCGCAUACGACCGAGAGGUUGGAGCGAUGGAUCGUCUGAGAAAUGACAUGGACCCGAAGUGUACUGACAGCUGUCCCGCAUACGGCAACAAUCCCUUUCUCCUCCAUGUAGCGUUUCAAUGUGGACUCAAAGCCAAAGUUCCUUUCCGCUAAUUCCUUCUCCGAGAUAACCCCCACUACGAGUCUUUGUUGUGGAAGUAGCAGAGAGUCGGAGAACAAGACGCAGUCUGUAAGAUUCAUAAUAUCAGAGAAUAUCCCCGUCAGUUCGGUCGCUGAUGAUGAUACACUUCUUAUAGGGUUGGUAAUGGUAUGACACCGGCUUCCUCCUGUUCUAGAUUACCAUGCGUCACCUUUAUAAAUAAAUCGCCAUUUCUCGUUUUCUGACGGCGACAACCAUAAUCAUCUAAAGAAAUAAUUAAAUAUUUAUAAAGAAAUAAGAAUGUUUAUAACUCAAUGGCGCCUACAACAUGACUACCGUCUCCUCUACUUCUGGCUCACGUCCCCCGGACGCAAGAUCUCGAGCGUGCGCAGAACGCGAAUCCGAUGUGCGAUACGAUGCGGGUUUACAUGCAGGUAGAAACCGAACUAUGAACGAGUUAUCUAGGUGUUCUUAUCCGAUUUCGCUUGUCCGUUCAUGUACCGAUUUCUGUCCGAGGUAGAUCAGGUAAAGGUGUUAACAUGCAUUUUAAAAGUCCUGUUGAGGUCUUAUUCUUUUAUUUACCCGAUAAUGACUCUGCAUGUAAACGCACUGACUAUGUGACGUGCAAAUCUUUACAUUUCUUGCGAUGGACAAGUGUAUUGAUUGAUAUACUAUGUAGCGACCCUAUAUCUAUAUCCUUCCAAACUCAAGCCUGUUACAUCCUUAACUCAACGCCACGCGAUUCUCACUCUGCCUUGUUGUUUUUCCUCUACCUCUUCUUUACUUUGUUUUAUAACUGGCGAGGGGCCUUGGCAAUCGGAAGACAAUAGGAAAACAAUCUGUUUAAGGGCUUUUUUGGACCUGAACACAGCUGUUGUAUUAGAAAAAUACGAUCUGAAAUCGUAUGUUCUUUUUUCGUUUCUAGAUCUUUCCCGGGUAAUUAACCUUUAUCAGGUCAGUUUCUUUGUGUUGAAAAUGCCAUAUAAAAUGCAGGGAUUUGGUUCAAUUGUAUGUAAACCGUACAAUAAAAUAGAUUCACUGCCAUUCACAGGUGGCCUUUGACUUGUUUAAGCUACAUUUAACCUCUCUACCUUGUUUGGUAUCUUGUGGUGCCUUAUUUAAACUGGAGUCCAAAGCCUUAUGUUAUCAAACAAGUGUAAGUGUAAAGUGUUUCAAUUCAUUCUCUGUAUUUUCUCUUUUUCUGAUGUGAUAUUUGUAACCGCUUUUGCCUUGUCGUAUAGCCUCAAAUGUGUUGUCUGUGCUUACAGUAUAUGUGGCUGUGAGGACUAGUCAUACUAGUCAUACUAUGUUGUAUGUUUAUAUAAAUAAAAAACAUGCCUUUCAGUCCCUCUGUCCCUCGCUCUGUUACUUAUCUGGGUAGUGCACCCUCGACCUUCGUGGGAAUCAGACCCCAUCUCUACUAGGCUGGUACUGCACUUUGAAUUUAAAUGUAUUGAUCAAUAUCUCUGCUUCUUAAAGGCUUUCUAUAUAUAUAUAUUUAAAGCCG
ensembl:lncRNA